CAGUAGCCGCGGUAAUACAGAGGGUGCAAGCGUUAAUCGGAAUUACUGGGCGUAAAGCGCGCGUAGGUGGUUUGUUAAGUUGGAUGUGAAAUCCCCGGGCUCAACCUGGGAACCGCAUCCAAAACUGGCAAGCUAGAGUAUGGUAGAGGGUGGUGGAAUUUCCUGUGUAGCGGUGAAAUGCGUAGAUAUAGGAAGGAACACCAGUGGCGAAGGCGACCACCUGGACUGAUACUGACACUGAGGUGCGAAAGCGUGGGGAGCAAACAGGAUUAGAUACCCCGGUAGUCCCUGUCUCUUAUAC
rnacentral:rRNA from 1 species